rnacentral:lncRNA from 1 species
CAUUUCCGGUUGUAGCUCAUCGCGCGGGUGUUUACCCGAGAAGAACACGCCGAUAGCGAUUGUUGGAAAAGAAAAAAGACACGGAGAUCGCGACAAAAUAAGAAAAUGACCUGAUGAAGCAAGAUGCAGGUGUCUCAUAGCCUACCACGGUUAGGGACGAGGUAGCUACAAAGGUAACACUACUUUUUAUUACCCUACAGUCUGAAAUGUUUCAGUCCUUGUAUUCAAGUUGCAGAAAAACGGCAUUUUAAAGUCUUAUACUUUAUAUUUUUGUUCCCCCUUUCUUAAACUUUUACAUUUUGAGCUAUUUUACAGUCAUAACCUUACAACUAUAAUGUGCUGCUCCUUACUCUACAUCAGGGGUGGGGGACCCGCUGCUCCUCAGCCUCCUUGGCGUGGCUCCCUUUGGCCUUGCCAAAAAAGAAAGACAUUAAUGUGAAUAACGUUUUUUUUUAUUUUUUAUUUAUACAUAUUUUUGUUGUUUAUUGUGUUGCACAGUUAUAUUGAGGUUCAUGUUGAUACUUAACAUUGAAUUUUAAAAGAUGUUUUUAUCAUUUGUCAACUAAAAUAUGCGUCACAUCCCUCGCCUUUAGCCUACCUACAGACAGUGUUGCCAGAUUAGGCUUUUUUCGCCCAACUGAGCUACUUUUGUUAAUGUCAGGCGGGGAAAAAUACAUUAGGCGGGUGAAUAAAAUUUGGGCUGCUUUUGUCCACAUUUGGCGAGUUUUUUGUUCUCAUUAUUGUUCAAGUUGAUGGAAAGACGCUGACUCUGUACUCAGUGUGUGAAUUAUAUUUCAAAUAAAGUACCCUAAAGCUUCUAUGAGUAGAUAAACAGACCUGUACUUCUAUCUCUACUGAGUUCAAUGUCAUUUAAGUAACUGUACUUUUACUUGAGAGGAAUAUUUCUACCCUCUGACAAACUUUUCUUGGUGUUGAAGUAGUUCACGUCAAACGAGUUACAGAGUCAUCUUCACACUGUUGUUACAGUCUUUACUGCCUAAAACUUAAAAUAUGAAAACCUGUCUGUGCCUAAAUGUAUAUCUUUCCUUGUUUUGUGGAUAAGCAGAUGAUUUUCUCACCUAAAGGGAUGAUCUUCUGUUUUUUGUGCCAGCGCCCAUUCAGAAUGAUGCUGCCGUACACCAGCACGUUGUUGAAUAGGAAGAAGACUUUGGGCUGUGGCCUCUGCUUCAUCAGCCGGCCCUCUUCAAUCUUAAUUUACAUGUUAAUUAAAUAAUAAAUAAAAUAGAAAAAUACAGAGUUAUGUGAUAUAUUUGAUUCAGCUGACCAGUUAACAAGAAUAUGAUACAGAGCCUUUUUUUAAGAAUGUUUUAUUCUGUUUCAAAAGCAGCAUUUAUAGGAAUCUUAACAUUCAACAGAACUGAAACAAGACUGCACAUGAUAGGAGAUUAAAAAAGUCUGAAGUGAUGAGUAUCAAUAAAUGUCAGGUAUGCUUCACCUUAAAAAUUACAACUUUCUCUUGUUCUUUCAGGACUCGACACUGGACCACCCCUGGAGUUGGGUGGACCACCAUCAUCUUGGGGCAGCCUUCCUCCCUCGGCGUCUCGCUCAGGUAGAGGCGCUCAGCUACUACUACUACUACUACUACUACUGUAGUCUGAUUAUCAGACUCCUCUUUAGGUGGAACUACCUCUUUAAUAACUUGUUAGGUGUCUCAAGAAAUUAAUCUUUAACAUUCAACCGUUUCUUUAUUAAUGAAUAAAGAGGAGUCUCCAUUUAUCUCAACAGCUUCACUCUCAGUCUCUUAUCAGUCAGUGAAAAGAUAUGGGGAGAGAUUUGUCUCAAAAUUACGCUCAAAUACAUAUCCACAGUUUCCAAUGACUGUAUUAUUCCACUUAAUUUAAAAUAAGAAAUCAUAUACCAACACAUUUCAAGAGUCUUUAUCAAUAUAUUUAUGGAUAAUUCAAUAAAUUAGUACACCUCUGUAUCUGACAGAAACAUACUCGUAGUAGAAAAUUGUGACAUGUUGUUCUUGAAGCAGUUAGUGAACUUUAUCUACUGUCAGCCUAAGUUUUGUAAGAACAAUUGAAAAGUAGAGAAUCGAAACAGAUUUAUAUUUUUCCAUCUCCAUAAUUUUAUCACCCACUUACAAAGAACGCUACAAAGAAAAAUAAGCUUUAAGUCCAAGUCCAGAGUUGUGUUGUAUCAGUAGCUAACCUAAAUAAGUGUUUUUACCCACUUUUAUUAAAAGUCCUGGGAACUUUACAUUGGAUGCUCCUAUUUGCCAAAAUUCUCAGCAAUAAACAUAAUGCAAUAAACAGUAAGUUACAAGAAUAACUGCGAAAGACCUGUGAAUUAAAGAAAUAUUAAUUUAGAUGUCGCUAAUCUAAUCUAAUGUGGAUAUUCAUUUCUGUUGAAGUCCAAUGACUCAAUUUCAAAGAGAUUAUGAUUUUAAGCUCUCUCUUGUUAACUAAUUAAGCAUUUAGUUCCCUGUAUUUGCAGUGUUUUCUUUAAGUGUAAUGCAUAUUAAGGCUAUUGUAUUAAAUUAUGAAACAAUCACAUUAAACACGGGUGUUGAAGUUCCACGUUUUAUUGAUGUAGUAGACACAAGAAUAAUAGCGCCAAACACAGCUGAAGGUUUAAUUAUUUAUUUAUUCAUAGAUAUUUGCGACUUAGAUCAGCUUCUCGAAACAGAUCUGAAGCACAAAUUCAGUAAAACUUUUCACUUAUUAUUAUUUUUUUUUCUGUUUCAAAAGACAUCUGGGUAAAAAAAAGAACUCCUUGAUCAGUAAAGAAGCCUGAGAGUUUCUCUGAGCUCUCACCACAGUCCAGUUUGACAUCCUCAGCACAGAUUUUUGUCUUUUGUUGGGUUAAAUGUGAUAAACUAAUUGUGUCUUUUCUUGUCUUUCAGGACCAACUGUGAGUUUUUCCUCUUGUGAAUUGUUUUUCUUUGUUCAUACUUAGUAUGCGAUUUAUUUAAUUGGAGUAUAGUUUAGUUAAGCUAGGUACAGGCAGUGAAGGUAGGAGUUUUAUUUGAUUUCUUUGAUACAAGAGAGAUUUUGAGUUCCCCUUUUAGGUACUUGCUACACUCUCUGAUAGGUGGGUUGGAGAUUGAGCUGCCUAUAAAAGGAGAGGAGAAUUGCUCCCAAAGAAGGAAGCUGUGCCCUUGUAUAAUCUCAUUUCAGACUCAAUUUGUUUGAUCUUGGGAAAAGAAAAGUUUAAUGGAACCUAUAUAUGUGGACUUGACUGUCAAUAAAAAAACAUUCACUUCUGAGAAUA